GUCCCUGUAGCGCACUGGAUAGCACGUUGGACUUCUAAAUCAAAGGUCGUGGGUUCAAAUCCCACCUGGGAUG
rnacentral:tRNA from 1 species